rnacentral:rRNA from 1 species
GAUGAACGCUGGCGGCGUGCCUAAUACAUGCAAGUCGAGCGAAUGGAUUAAGAGCUUGCUCUUAUGAAGUUAGCGGCGGACGGGUGAGUAACACGUGGGUAACCUGCCCAUAAGACUGGGAUAACUCCGAGAAACCGGGGCUAAUACCGGAUAACAUUUUGAACCGCAUGGUUCGAAAUUGAAAGGCGGCUUCGGCUGUCACUUAUGGAUGGACCAGCGUCGCAUUAGCUAGUUGGUGAGGUAACGGCUCACCAAGGCAACGAUGCGUAGCCGACCUGAGAGGGUGAUCGGCCACACUGGGACUGAGACACGGCCCAGACUCCUACGGGAGGCAGCAGUAGGGAAUCUUCCGCAAUAGACGAAAGUCUGACGGAGCAACGCCGCGUGAGUGAUGAAGGCUUUCGGGUCGUAAAACUCUGUUGUUAGGGAAGAACAAGUGCUAGUUGAAUAAGCUGGCACCUUGACGGUACCUAACCAGAAAGCCACGGCUAACUACGUGCCAGCAGCCGCAGUAA